rnacentral:misc_RNA from 1 species
AUCUUUGAUCAGAAGAAUCGGAGAAGAGCUCUGAGGAUACGCCGGAACCCGAUACGGAGGCGCGGGAUAGCCCUGCCGGCAUGCUCAGAUGUCUCCCGCAGAAACUCCUCCAUCGCCUCCACGAACAGGUUGAGACUCCUCACCGGAGGCACGUACAGCGUCAGCGGCGCCGCCGAGAACGCUAUCGCCAUCAUCAACUGCAACAUCUCUGUGUUCCCUUCACAACCUCAAAUUCCUCUCUGAUAAACUGGUCUGCAA